UCCCCCCUCUCUCUCUCUCUAUUCCCACCGUCAGCGCCCUCGCCGUCUCCCUCUCCCUCUCUUGAGGUCCCUCGCCCUCGCCGUCUCCCUCUCCCUCUAUCGAGCUCCCGCGAAUGUUAGAUGGCCUAAAAACUCUGACAGCUUCUCAGUGCACUCUCUCAAAUCAGCUAUUCUUUCUUCUUCAUCUUUUGCCCAUAACAGACGCGAGAGUCUCACUUACUCCAUAGAAACGCUUCAGUCUCCUUCCUUUCCAUCUAUGUUGUUCAAAAUCCAAAUGGGUUUUCAGGAAAUGAAGUUCUAGCAAUGAUUUCCUGGCUUUCCUAACAUUCAAAAGUGCUUUCUUUAAGGGAUUUUUGGAGAAGGCAUAGAAGGAAGGCUUUUGUUGUUACGGGAGCUUUGGGAAGUGGGUAUUUUUUGUAUAGGAUUUAUGCUUCUCAUACACAGAGGAUUUCUGAUUUAGAGACUCAAAUCGACAGCCAGCAUGAAAUCGAUGAGCUCAUUAAGGCCCAGUCAUUAAUGAAGCUCUCAUAUGUGGGAACAUAGUCAAGUUUGUGCACUGAAAGGCCCUCAAGGAUGUCAGAUUUAAAGGUACACCAUCCACCUAUGGUGGACCUUUUUUUGUAUAUAUGUUUAUAGAAUCAUGCAUGUAAGAGCACAUUUAUUAUAAUGUUCCCACAAUCUGUAUUAAGAAACUCAAUUUCUGUGGUCCAGAUUAUUCAAUUCCAUAUGGAUGGAACGUCCUCCUAGUUUUCAGUGUUGUACAUCUAGACAUAUCUCUUCAUGGAAGUGUCCUUGAGUUCCAUCCUUGGAGAUGGGAGGUAAUUACUAUUACUUUAAUGAUGAUGAUGGUUAAUUUAGUUUGUGGGGUCCACUAUUUCACUCUCUUGAUUGAUGAUGGUUAUCUUGGUUUGUGAGUCCCACAAGCAUCUAGUAUUGUAUACACAAAUGUAUAGGUCUAUAACUAAAAAUUAGAAAGGAUGGGUAGAUUUACUCCAAGGAACUUUGGUUGAUUUAUUUAAUGAGAGAUGCUCACAUCCAGCUCGUUGGACCAAAAGUUACCAUUCACAUCCAGCUUAUUGAUCCUGCUCUAUUUGCCCCAUCAAAAUUUGAUGAAUUUGUUGGGGCCUUAGCCAAGUUUUGAGUCGUUCUGCUUGCAUAUCUCCAUUUUAUUCUAUUUUUUCAGCUUCUAAUGAACUUUGGCAUAUCUGAUGUUGGAGACGUACCAAAUGCAAAAGCAUUAGACUCUUUAUUUCAUUCUGGUUACAUUCAGUUGAUUAAAAAAAAGUUUGCUACUGUUUCUAAGACGAUUCAGAAUCUAAGAAGUGAAGCCACAAAGUCAGAUGAUAUAUUUUUGCAUGUCCAAGAAAUUCAAGAAUCCGUCAGAAUUUUAUUUUUAAAUUAUUGCCCGGAUUUUGAGAAAGUUCUGCACUUUUAGAGUUUCAGGAAGUGUUUAUAUGAUUUUGCCGACUCUUGUUCUUUACAGUAUCUUUUCUAAUUUGUCCAUGCUAUCAGCAAGGAUUUCUUUGGUAUUUACUUUAAGAUGAUGGUCUGUUAGGUGUUCAGAUGCAUGAUACCCCUCUGUCUAUUAAGGAUUCUAUGUUGCCAUUCCUUUUUGUAGAAAAAAGUCUAUAAUUAUAGGAUUAUGUUCUAUGUUAUGAGUACAUGUUUCCUCUUUUUUUUGUCCUUUAAAUUAUAGAGCACCUUCUUUCUCUGUUGUCUCUGUUCAUUUGUUUAGUUAGUUUUCCUUGUGGAAUCACAACUUUCUUUUUCUUUUUAUUUUUUCUCUGUGGAACCACAACUUUCUUCGGCCAUUGAAGAAAGAGAGAGACUAAGAAAGGAUGCUAUUGCAUGGAAGAAGCAGAAGAGUGGGGAAGCAGAGGGUGGAAAGGCACAUGAUUCCCUUAUCAAGUGCAGGUAAUUUGGUUCUACGUGCAAUCUGUUUCUGGAAAUGGCACAACUGCUCAGAUGCCGACUCGGUUGAGUGCAACCCAUCUACCCUUAAAAGUGGGAGCACCCAAAUGUGGAAUUUAGGUUGCAGCUGCUUGUUUAGAAGAAUUGUUGAUUUUAGCAGCUGCUUGUUUAGAUGUACAUGGGGAUGACAGUGUGAUGUAUCCGUAAUGGAAGUUUGUUAUAAGGGUGAGCAUGCAUAUGUUCCUAUAACUCAAGAAAGGUUACUGGCAGGCAUUAUCUAUGAGGAUUCAACCUGGAUUGGAACAAAAGAUUGUUAUUCUGCGAGAUUCGUAUCUUGAGGGUUAUUUUGAUAAUGUUUCAGAGCAUCUCUGAGUAGGACCACCAGUAUAUUUUGUUGUGAAGAACUUCAACUAUAGGUGAUCAAUUGGCAAUUGCUAAGGAAACUGAGCAUCGGUUGGGAAUGGGUACAAACUUGUACCCAUCUUCAUCUCUUCUGGGGGACAGCAAGGAUGAAUUAGUUUCGGCUCUACCUGUGGAUGAACUAAUUGAGAAAGCUGAUGGUUUUACUAGGGUGUUUCCUGCACAAGUAUGAGAUUGUGAAGAAACUCCAAGCUAGAAAGCACAUCUGUGGAAUGACAGGUGAUGGGGUCAAUGAUGCACCUGCAUUAAAGAAGGCAAACAUAGGAAUUGCAAUGGCAGAUGCAAUAAAUGUUGCUCGAAGUGCUUCUAACAUAGUUCUAACAGAGCCUGGACUGAGUGUAAUCAUUAGUGCCGUUUUAACAAGCCGUGCAAUUUUUUAGAAAAUGAAGAACUAUACAGUAGUCUCAUGCUUUCGUUUGCUAUAUUAUAGAUAGGGACUGUGCAUGUGCUGCUGACCUGUUCCACUUUUGAUAUUUACUUACCAUGACAUGGAUCUGUUUCCAGGUACCAUCAUGACAAUCUCCAAGGACAGAGUCAAGCCUUCUCAACUGGAAACUCAGUGAAAUUUUAGCAACUGGAAUAGUCAUUGGAAUGUAUCUUUGACGAGACUAUUUUUUUUUUUUUUGCGGUAAAUACUUCUUUGUUCCUCAAUGCUGUAAAUAGUACUUCACAAUUCAUGACUUCUUUAAUACUUCCCACAAAUGCAAUGGAAACUUUCAUUUAUCUUUUUAUUUUAAGGCAACAGAAACUUUCAUAGUAGGAAAAAAGAAAAAAAGAAAGAAAAAAGGCAGUCAGAAGGGAGAAUACAAGCCCCAUAAAAAAAAGAUAAUGUCUAAACACCGUAGAGCCAUAACCUAUAUAUAUGUAUGUAUAAUCUAUAUGAGAAACAUUUUGGCCUGAUUUCUCUCCUCCUUUUCUUACUCAUGUCUUUCUCUCUGACUAUGUAAUGUUUCUGCAAGUAUGUUCCAAUUUUGUUAGUUAUAUAUGUAAUAGCUUAUUGAGGACAUGCAGAAAACAAAGGAAGAGAUGGAAAAACUGAAAGGGGAGGCACAAGCCAACAAGGAUCACAUGCUACAGGUGGUUUGGAUUUUUUACUUGAAUUUAUUAUCUGAUACUCUUAAGGAUUUAAAUAUUUUAUGAUAUUUUUUUUUUACAGCAUAAAGAAAUAGCAUAAGUGAAUGAAGUUGCAUUGAAGCAAAUUGAAUCUGCUCAUGAAAAAUUCAAGGCUGAGGUACAUCCCUGUAUAUUUAACCUCAU